UCGCUUUGGGAGGAGCUCGCUUACUAUCAGCUUGUUGGUAGGGUAAUGGCCUACCAAGGCUAUGACGGUUAGGGGGUGUGAGAGCAUGACCCCCAGCAUUGGCACUGAAACACUGGCCAAACACCUACGGGUGGCUGCAGUCGAGAAUCUUCCACAAUGGGGGAAACCCUGAUGGAGCGAUGCUGCGUGCGGGAUGAAGGCCUUCGGGUUGUAAACCGCUUUUGUAGGGGACGAAAUUUUUGACGGUACCCUUUCGAAUAAGAGGUUGCUAACUCUGUGCCAGCAGCAGCGGUAAUACAGAGACCUCAAGCGUUAUCCGGAUUUACUGGGCGUAAAGCGUCUGUAGGGGGUUUAUUAAGUUCCAAGUAAAAUUUCAAGGCUCAACUUUGAAUUCGCUUGGAAAACUAAUAAACUGGAGUCUAGCAGAGGUGCAUGGAACUUGUGGUGUAGGAGUGAAAUCCGAUGAUAUCACAAGGAACACCAAAGGCGAAGGCAUUGCACUGGGCUAGCACUGACCCUGAGAGACGAAAGCGUGGGGAGCAAAACGGAUUAGAUACCCGUGUAGUCCACGCCCUAAACGAUGAAUGCUAAAUGUUCGGGGAUUCGACCCCCUGGGUGUUACAGCUAACGCGUUAAGCAUUCCGCCUGGGAAGUACGGCCGCAAGGCUAAAACUCAAAGGAAUAGACGGGGAUCCGCACAAGCGGUGGAGCGUCUGGUUUAAUUCGACAGUAAGCGUGGUACCUCACCAGGGUUUGACAUCCCUUGACAGCCUUGGAAACAAGGUUUCCUUCGGGCAAGGUGACAGGUGCUGCAUGGUCGUCGUCAGUUCGUGCCGUGAGGUGUUCCGUUAAGUCGGGAAACGAACGAAACCCCUAUUGCAUGUUACAAUUUCUCAUGCAAGACUGCCCGGAUAUACUGGGAGGAAGGUGGGGAUGACGUCAGAUCUGCAUGGUCCUUAUACCCUGGGCGACACAGGCGCUACAAUGGCAGAGACAAAGGGUUGCAAAACCGCAAGGUGAAGCUAAUCCCAAAAACUUUGUCUAAGUUCGGAUUGAAGGCUGCAAUUCGCCUUCAUGAAGCUGGAAUCGCUAGUAAUCGUGAAUCAGCCACGUCACGGUGAAUAUGUUCCCGGAUCUUGUACUCACCGCCCGUCACACCAAGAGAGUUGGUGCUCCCGAAGCGUCCCGUUUUAGCGGGGCAUCACGGAGAGAUCAGCGAU
rnacentral:rRNA from 1 species